rnacentral:tRNA from 1 species
GCGGGUGUGGCGAAAUUGGUAGACGCGCGUGGUUUAGGGCCACGUGAGCUUGCUCAUGGGGGUUCAAGUCCCUCCACCCGCA